CAGGGAGACAAAACUGAUCUUGAUGUCUGAGUGAAUUUAUUCUUAGACCAUGAUCCUGUCACCUUAGGUCGAUCGGUACCUCAAAUUAUUUAUUAUUUAAAUCCUUAAAUUUAAAGAUUUAAAUUUAGUAAUUUCUGUUCCUAAACUUUGUCUAGGUCUCACCCCACAAGGGUUACUCCUGGGCCAUUAGCUCAGGUGGUUAGAGCGCACCCCUGAUAAGGGUGAGGUCCCUGGUUCAAGUCCAGGAUGGCCCAUUCGUUGUUGGGGGUAUAGCUCAGUUGGUAGAGCGCCUGCUUUGCAAGCAGGAUGUCAGCGGUUCGAGUCCGCUUACCUCCACUGAUCUACCUUCUGAUAACGAACUCGAGGAAGAUUACUUUUGUAUGAUGUGACUUAGAUUUGGUUAGCUGUUUGAACCUAGCUUCUUGUCAUUCCUUUAUUAAUAAGAAAUUAAUUAGAGGUUGAUAUGAUGCUGGGCUCUCUGAAAUUCGAAAGGAUUUCGGAUAAGUUCAGUAGAACCUUGACAACUGCAUAGGUAAGUUUGGAAAGAAUAAAGCAUCUCAUGGAGGCGUUAUUCUUUAAAUACAGAAUAAAUCUGUAUUAUUAGAAUAACGCUUAAAUUCUUGAGUAAGAGCCGAGACUCUAUAGCGCUUAGCGUUAUAGAGAUUAAAU
rnacentral:tRNA from 1 species